GAUGAACGCUGGCGGCGUGCCUAAUACAUGCAAGUAGAACGCUGGAGCUUGGUGCUUGCACCGAGCGGAUGAGUUGCGAACGGGUGAGUAACGCGUAGGUAACCUGCCUGGUAGCGGGGGAUAACUAUUGGAAACGAUAGCUAAUACCGCAUGACAACAGUUAUUGCAUGAUAACUGUUUAAAAGGGGCAAUUGCUCCACUACCAGAUGGACCUGCGUUGUAUUAGCUAGUUGGUGAGGUAACGGCUCACCAAGGCGACGAUACAUAGCCGACCUGAGAGGGUGAUCGGCCACACUGGGACUGAGACACGGCCCAGACUCCUACGGGAGGCAGCAGUAGGGAAUCUUCGGCAAUGGACGGAAGUCUGACCGAGCAACGCCGCGUGAGUGAAGAAGGUUUUCGGAUCGUAAAGCUCUGUUGUAAGAGAAGAACGAGUGUGAGAGUGGAAAGUUCACACUG
rnacentral:rRNA from 1 species